AUGCUACCCUUUUCCAAGCUCCACAAGCAAAUCGCCCCUCAGCCUCCCUUUKUUGAAUGGGGCUCCGGUUGWRUCAUCGCCCCCAACCAACACGUUCAAAGGAUCACGGCCAUUCGAUUGACCAUGCAAUCAAUGCAUGCUUCCAGAAGGAUGCACAGCCAAAAACGAUGGUUUGCAUGCCCUGCCGAAGGACCCUAUCAUGCGCAAUAGGUGGUUGGAUUUCGUUGCUCUCCAGUGGUGACAAAGUGCACAGUUGGUCAUGAACGGAUGCCAGGACCUACAAGAAAGAGCAAAGCUUGUCAGGAAAGACCUCAGAAUAAAAGUGUGUCAUGCGACACAAGUACUCGUGUGAUAAGGAGGACCGAGCACUCCCCCAUUCUCAUCGACGGGGCUGUAGUGGAGCAGGUUGAGAGCUUCAAGUUCUUUGGUG